GUGGUCGCGAAGGGCGAUCCUCCGCGCACACGGCUGGUGGCAGCCGCAGGCCGACGCGCUCAUCUCGCGCGCGCUCGGUUGGGACGCGCGCACCAACCGUCUCUCUCUUGGCGAGUUCGCUG
rnacentral:SRP_RNA from 1 species